GACGAACGCUGGCGGCGUGCUUAACACAUGCAAGUCGAACGGAAAGGCCCUGCUUUCGUGGGGUGCUCGAGUGGCGAACGGGUGAGUAACACGUGAGUAACCUGCCCUUGACUUUGGGAUAACUUCAGGAAACUGGGGCUAAUACCGGAUAGGAGCUCCUGCUGCAUGGUGGGGGUUGGAAAGUUUCGGCGGUUGGGGAUGGACUCGCGGCUUAUCAGCUUGUUGGUGGGGUAGUGGCUUACCAAGGCUUUGACGGGUAGCCGGCCUGAGAGGGUGACCGGCCACAUUGGGACUGAGAUACGGCCCAGACCCCUACGGGAGGCAGCAGUGGGGAAUAUUGCACAAUGGGCGGAAGCCUGAUGCAGCAACGCCGCGUGCGGGAUGACGGCCUUCGGGUUGUAAACCGCUUUCGCCUGUGACGAAGCGUGAGUGACGGUAAUGGGUAAAGAAGCACCGGCUAACUACGUG
rnacentral:rRNA from 1 species